UGGGGUAGAGAAUAAGAGCGACUUGGUGGUUCGGCACUUGAGCUCCGUAGGCGCACGCGCCUCGUUUUCAUAGAAAAGAUGCAAAAGAAGGGCUCCAUGGGAGAAACUACGAAAGCCACGAAAAUUCUCUUGUUUUCUAGCGAAUCGGAUUUCCCAAGGGUUUGAAUUACGCGUCUCGUCGUCGUCGUCCGCAUUCAUUGCUGUUCUUCUUUUCUCGAGGGAUUUUGAGAAUCGAGAUUUUCCGGAGGGUGCGUUUGGAUGCAGUAUAGAUUCAAUUGCGAUCAUUAAUUCAACUUGAGGGAGGGUGGUAAUUUUUCUAUGAGAGCUAUAAGGAAAACCUUGUCCAUUUCCUUUCUUUCAAAUAUGAGUUCAUGUAUCAGAUUUUGAUACUCAUAAAUAUGGUGUGAUGCCCUAUAAACUGUCGGUGCCAAUGAAGUUGCCAUUGCGUGGAGCCAUUCCACAUAUUGAUCUUUUUGUUUAUCAUCUUCCUGCUUCAAGUCUGAAGAAUCUAAGAAGUGAGGGGGUCUAAAUCCAUAAUAUUUGGAAAUUGGGUUCUGAACUUCUGGAGGGGCGGUGGGGCUUUUGAGAUCCUUGAUAGCCUGCUGCUUUUGUCGAACAAAUGCUUUGUGAGCCACAUGCAAUACUCUAGAUUUGCCUCUCGCCACUGAACCUUCAGCUUAUCCUUCCUCGUUACUAGACUUUUUAACAAGCUCUUUUGAUAGAAGAGAAGAUGUUACAUCAUCUACCGUUAUGGUCUCCUUCCCAUCAAUCAAAGUAGUAACAAGGUGACAAGCUCUUCUUUACAAACUUUAACAUCAAUGCUUAAUAGUUGACAAGAAGUCUUAUUAAAUUGAUUUAAGUGGUCAUGGACAAACAUACUUUCUUUCAUUUCCAAGUUAUAUAACUGUUGCUUUAGAUAUAGCUUGUUGGUUAGGGACUUUGUCAUGUAGAGACCUUUUAGCUUUUCCUAAAGGUUUUCUGCAGAGUUUUCAUUUAUAAUGUUGUUAUAAAACGCUUUAUCCGCAAGACACAAACAGAUUGUGCUAACAGCCCUCAAGUUCAACUCUUCCCACUCGUAAUCAGUUAAUGUCAUAUUCUUAGAUCUUCCCUUCAAUACUUUGUACAAACCUUGCUGAACCAAGAGAUCGCGUGCUUUAAUUUGCCAUAGGUUAAAAUUAUUCUUCCCAUUGAACUUCUCCACCUCAAACUUUACAUUCGACGUCUUUGUGACAAUUGCACACCUUAAAUAGCUAACAAAUUACUAAAAUAGAGUAUAAACCAAAAGGCCACAAAUUGACCUCAGAUACCAAUUAUUGUGCAACUUUACCUACAAACAUUUGAUGCCAGCAACAUAAAACCACAAUAUACCAAACCAAUCCAAUCCAAACACAAGAGACAAGAGGCACAGAGAUUUACGUGGUUCGGCAAUAUGCUUACUCCAUGGGGGCAGUAACACAAAGCUUUAACCUUCACUAAAGAAUGAGAGAAACUAAAUUACAAGGCUCUUGUUUUUAGUGAAGGAAAAAACUCCGUGUUGUUGCCCCAUGGAAUAGCCAUAUUGCCGAACCAUGUAAAUCUCUGUGCCGCUUGUCUUUUGUGUUUGGAUUGGUAUGACUUUUGUUUUUUUCUUUUUUGCUUUGGAUCUUUUCCUUUUGUGGUUUUGUGUUGUUGGCAUCUAACGUUUGCAGGUAAAGUUGUGCAUCACUUGGAGACUAGAUGCAGGUGGUUCGACCACUUAGCUUGAACUUGGCCAUGUAUAACACAUUAUUUUCUUCUUCGGUGGGUUGUUCAUUGACCUUCGACCUCUUCUGCCAUGUGCACAAUAGGUAUGAAUUGAUUCUGAAGUGUCAGAGCCAAUAGAUACCACAUUGAAGUCUUCGUAAGGGUGCACUUGCCUUGGGACUUCCCAAAUUGGGCUUUAGAGCCCUCCGAAGUGGUAAUAGAAACCCUCUAAAUGUCCUGUCUCGUGAGUAUGUUUGGGUGACAGAAGCUUGGCUGCAUGACAUGCCCCAAGUUGUGUGACAGGAAUACGGGGGACAUCUAUCUGUCAUGCGACAAGUGCUGUGUGGCAGGUAGGGUGUCUUGCAUUAGGACAUGGUGUGAUGGAGCUAUUCUUGUGUGGUUGUCCAAGUGCAGAAGGCCAAGAGCUGCAUGACGAAGGCAACAUGACAACAUUUUACCAUGCAACGUGCCAAGUGUGACUGUUAAAAAAGAGAGCGAAGUGUGGCAGACCGAAAGCAGCUCAAUAAGGCUUGCAAGACAACAUUUUGUCUGCGAAACACAAUGGUUUUUUUUU